rnacentral:rRNA from 1 species
CCCUUAGAUGUUCUGGGCAGCACGCGCGCUACAAUGGUCUUCGCAAACGGAUGCAUUCUCGAAGGAGAAUGCCAAUCUUGGAAUCUAUGCCUUGGUCGGGACAGUUGCUUGCAAUUUUUCGACUCGAACCAGGAAUUCCUUGUAAUCGUGAUUCAUCACAUCACGAUGAAUACGUCCCUGCCCUUUGUACACACCGCCCGUCGCUCCUGCCGAUCGAAGAGUUAGGUGAAUUGUUUUGAUCGAUAAGAUUUGACUAUGGUCAACUCUCGUUGUGAAAUUCUGUGAAUCUGACUGUUUAGAGGAAGGAAAAGUCGUAACA